AGAGUUUGAUCNUGGCUCAGGAUGAACGCUAGCGGCAGGCUUAAUACAUGCAAGUCGAGGGGCAGCAGGGGUGUAGCAAUACACUCGCUGGCGACCGGCAAACGGGUGCGGAACACGUACGCAACCUACCCAUAACUGGUGAAUAGCCCUCCGAAAGGAGGAUUAAUACACCGUAACCUGAUAGAGUGGCAUCACUUUAUUAGUAUAGCUCCGGCGGUUAUGGAUGGGCGUGCGCCUGAUUAGGUAGUUGGUGUGGGUAACGGCCCACCAAGCCUUCGAUCAGUAACUGGUGUGAGAGCACGACCAGUCACACGGGCACUGAGACACGGGCCCGACUCCUACGGGAGGCAGCAGUAAGGAAUAUUGGUCAAUGGACGCAAGUCUGAACCAGCCAUGCCGCGUGAAGGAUGAAGGUCCUCUGGAUUGUAAACUUCUUUUAUCUGGGACGAAACCCAGGGNAUUCUUCCCNUGAUUGACGGUACCAGAGGAAUAAGCACCGGCUAACUCCGUGCCAGCAGCCGCGGUAAUACGGAGGGUGCAAGCACUAUNCGGAUUCACUGGGUUUAANGGUGCGUAGGAGGGCAGGAANUCAGUGGUGAAAUCUCCGGGCU
rnacentral:rRNA from 1 species